ACGAACGCUGGCGGCAUGCCUAACACAUGCAAGUCGAACGAGACCUUCGGGUCUAGUGGCGCACGGGUGCGUAACGCGUGGGAAUCUGCCCCUCGGUUCGGAAUAACAGUUAGAAAUGACUGCUAAUACCGGAUGAUGACGAAAGUCCAAAGAUUUAUCGCCGAGGGAUGAGCCCGCGUAAGAUUAGCUAGUUGGUAGGGUAAAGGCCUACCAAGGCGACGAUCUUUAGCUGGUCUGAGAGGAUGAUCAGCCACACUGGGACUGAGACACGGCCCAGACUCCUACGGGAGGCAGCAGUGGGGAAUAUUGGACAAUGGGCGAAAGCCUGAUCCAGCAAUGCCGCGUGAGUGAUGAAGGCCUUAGGGUUGUAAAGCUCUUUUACCAGGGAUGAUAAUGACAGUACCUGGAGAAUAAGCUCCGGCUAACUCCGU
rnacentral:rRNA from 1 species